UUCAACGGCCGCGGUACUCCUAACCGUGCAAAGGUAGCAUAAUCACUUGUCCUCUAAAUAGGGACUUGAAUGAACGGCCAAAUGAGGGCCUAACUGUCUCUUAGAGCCAAUCAAUGAAUCUGCUCUUUCAGUACAAAAGCUGAAAUAAGACCAUAAGACGAAAAGACCCUGUGGAACUUUAAAUCGAGGCCAUAACUAAAUGACCUAAGUUUUAAGUUGGGGCGACUACGGAAUAAAACAUAACUUCCAUGCCAAGGACCACCUGCCCCCACAAAGACCCACACAUCAAUAUGACAAAAUAUUUGAUCCAGUAACAACUGAUUAACGAACCAAGCUACCCCAGGGAUAACAGCGCUAUCCUCUUCAAGAGCCCAUAUCGCCAAGAGGGUUUACGACCUCGAUGUUGGAUCAGGACCCCCAAGUGGUGCAGCCGCUACUAACGGUUCGUUUGUUCAACGAUUAAUGUCCU
rnacentral:rRNA from 1 species